rnacentral:rRNA from 1 species
UGGGGAAUUUUGGACAAUGGGGGCAACCCUGAUCCAGCAACGCCGCGUGAGCGAUGAAGGUCUUCGGAUUGUAAAGCUCUGUUAAGUGGAACGAUGGGUUCCAAAGCUAAUAUCUUUGGGAUUUGACGGUACCACUGGAGGAAGUCACGGCUAACUACGUGCCAGCAGCCGCGGUAAUACGUAGGUGGCAAGCAUUGUUCGGAUUUACUAGGCGUAAAGGGAGCGUAGGUGGUUUUGUAAGUUGCAAGUGAAAUUCCACGGCUUAACCAUGGAACUGCUUGCAAAACUGCAAGGCUUGAGUAUAGGAGAGGGAAAUGGAAUUCCUAGUGUAGCGGUGAAAUGCGUAGAUAUUAGGAAGAACACCUGUGGCGAAGGCGAUUUCCUGGCCUAACACUGACACUGAGGCUCGAAAGCUAGGGGAGCAAACAGG